UCAGGUUUGUCGAAGAUCAGAUGGUUGUAGAAUCUACAAGGAACUUAAACAAAUUUACGAGAAAAAACAACCCCAUUAAAAAGUGGGUGAAGGAAAUAAACAGACCCCUCUCAUAAGAAGACAUUUACGUGGCCAAAGUAUGCCAUAUCACUUUCAAUCUCCAGAAGAAACGAAGACCAAAAGUGUUACUCCAAACCUCCAGGAGGGGCUGGCAACCAAAGAUCUUAGGAUGCGAGUGAAAUUUGGUGCCGUGACUCGGAUCGGGGAACCUCCCUUAGGAGAUCAAUCCCGUCCUCCUGCUCUUUGUUUCAUGAGGAAGAUCCACCUACGACCUCUAGUCCUCAGACCAACCAGCCCAAGGAAUAUCUCACCAAUUUUAAAUCCCGUAAGUGGCCUAUUUUUACUUUCUUCAACCUCUCUCACUAUCCCUCAACCUCUUUCUUC
rnacentral:lncRNA from 1 species